UCAUCGGCUCUCCUAUGAUGUCAUUAACUCCUGCUUCCUUGCAGCCGCAGGGCAUUGUGGCCUGAAAGCACCACCUAAGCAGGAACUGCCUGGCUCCAAGGAACAGCCCCACUUGUGAAGAGGCCUGAAGAGAUCUGGCCAACAGAUAGGGAGCCCACCAGGCUUCAAGUCUGUACAAGCACACCGUGCCCCAAGUGACUUCUCCCAGGGAACCAAGAGGGCUGGCGAAUGGAAGCAAAACCCAGUCCUUUUCUGCCUCCUUUUGAAAACAGUCCAAAUCUCAACAGGUCCAGGUUCUCUGCUUGUCUGUUUCAACAGAUGGAAACACUUGUUGAAAGAAGGCAGCAAGCCCAAGGUGCUACGCAGGGAAACAGCCCCUUCCGUCUCAGGAGGCAUUGAGCCUUGCUCCAAAGGAGUGUGUGGCAAGGGCCCCAAGAAUAUGGUUUUUGGCUUCCCAGUGGAUCCUGGGAAGGCUUGCCAGAUUUAGCCAUAAGACACAAACAAAACAAAAAGGACAAUAUUUGGGACAUAUUCGAAAUCGAAAUUUAACUGCGCAUCUCGUGUAUGAUUUAGUGGCUUGAAUCCCGGAGGCGCUGAUGCAGCUCGCAUUUGGUCUUCUGUGGUCUGUACAUUAGUGUUUGUCUUCUUCUUCAUCCUAAAC